UGGCGACCGGCGCACGGGUGAGUAACACGUAUCCAACCUGCCGAUAACUCGGGGAUAGCCUUUCGAAAGAAAGAUUAAUAUCCGAUAGCAUAUCAAGAUCGCAUGAUCUUGAUAUUAAAGAAUUUCGGUUAUCGAUGGGGAUGCGUUCCAUUAGUUAGUUGGCGGGUAACGGCCCACCAAGACGACGAUGGAUAGGGGUUCUGAGAGGAAGGUCCCCCACAUUGGAACUGAGACACGGUCCAAACUCCUACGGAAGGCAGCAG
rnacentral:rRNA from 1 species